GGGAGACUGCCGGUGACAAACCGGAGGAAGGUAGGGACGACGUCAAGUCAUCAUGCCCCUUACGUCUUGGGCUACACACGUACUACAAUGGUUGGGACAACGGGCAGCGAAGCGGCGACGCCGAGCGAAUCCCAGCAAACCCAGCCUCAGUUCAGAUCGCAGGCUGCAACUCGCCUGCGUGAAGGAGGAAUCGCUAGUAAUCGCCGGUCAGCAUACGGCGGUGAAUCCGUUCCCGGGCCUUGUACACACCGCCCGUCAAGCCAUGGGAGUUGGGGGUGCCCGAAGUCACCGAUGAGGUGCCGAAGGCAAAACCAAUGACUGGGGCUAAGUCGUAACAAGGUAGC
rnacentral:rRNA from 1 species